AGAGGGAUAGAUAUGGCUGUAGAUGGGUAGGGGAGGACAGGGAUAGAUAUGGCUGUAGAUGGGUAGGAGAGGGAUAGAUAUGGCUGUAGAUGGGUAGGAGAGGGAUAGAUAUGGCUGUAGAUGGGUAGGAGAGGGAUAGAUAUGGCUGUAGAUGGGUAGGGUAGGAGAGGGAUAGAUAUGGCUGUAGAUGGGUAAGGGAGGAGAGGGAUAGAUGUGGCUGUAGAUGGGUAGGAGAGGGAUAGAUAUGGCUGUAGAUGGGUAGGAGAGGGAUAGAUAUGGCUGUAGAUGGGUAGGGUAGGAGAGGGAUAGAUAUGGCUGUAGAUGGGUAGGGGAGGAGAGGGAUAGAUAUGGCUGUAGAUGGGUAGGAGAGGGAUAGAUAUGGCUGUAGAUGGGUAGGAGAGGGAUAGAUAUGGCUGUAGAUGGGUAGGGUAGGAGAGGGAUAGAUAUGGCUGUAGAUGGGUAGGGGAGGAGAGGGAUAGAUAUGGCUGUAGAUGGGUAGGAGAGGGAUAGAUAUGGCUGUAGAUGGGUAGGAGAGGAGAGGGAUAGAUAUGGCUGUAGAUGGGUAGGAGAGGAGAGGGAUAGAUAUGGCUGUAGAUGGGUAGGAGAGGAGAGGGAUAGAUAUGGCUGUAGAUGGGUAGGAGAGGGAUAGAUAUGGUUGUAGAUGGUUAGGAGAGGAGAGGGAUAGAUAUGGCUGUAGAUGGGUAGGAGAGGAGAGGGAUAGAUAUGGCUGUAGAUGGGUAGGAGAGGAGAGCGAUAGAUAUGGCUGUAGAUGGGUAGGAGAGGAGAGGGAUAGAUAUGGCUGUAGAUGGGUAGGGGCGGAGAGGGAUAGAUAUGGCUGUAGAUGGGUAGGAGAGGAGAGGGAUAGAUAUGGCUGUAGAUGGGUAGGAGAGGGAUAGAUAUGGCUGUAGAUGGGUAGGAGAGGAGAGGGAUAGAUAUGGCUGUAGAUGGGGGGGAGAGGGAUAGAUAUGGCUGUAGAUGGGUAGGAGAGGGAUAGAUAUGGCUGUAGAUGGGUAGGAGAGGAGAGGGAUAGAUAUGGCUGUAGAUGGGUAGGAGAGGGAUAGAUAUGGCUGUAGAUGGGUAGGGGAG
rnacentral:lncRNA from 1 species